UGCCCUUAGCAAAAGAAAGGGCCCAGUCUGCACUAACAGUGAGGUUCCUUCACUGAGAGCUCAGCUGAAAUCACGGAGAGCUGGGUGGAACCUCAAGA